UGCAGUCUGCCUAGCAAUAUUUUUUUUAAAUUUUUAUCGGUACUAUAUAAGCUAUCAAGUAUGAACCCUCUGAAACACAAGUCAAACAUGAAAGAUGGACGGUCACCAGCGUCUCUGCACUCCAAUUUCUUCUCCUCCCUGAAACAGGUUGAGAAGAGACUGAAAUUAGAGAACCCAGAAAAAAAAUCCAGUAUUUCGCCAUCACCAUUGUUACAAAGCAACAAGCUUUUAACAGAAGAGGAAUCACUAAGCUCACCGUUACAUCUCCACUUUGACCAGUCCAAUAACAACAACAAUCAGAGCUUAAACGCAUUGCAAGAGAGCGGUGAACCUCCAGAGGCGUUCCUCUCAUGCUCCCUACUUUUCCCACCAACCCAACAAAACCCACCUCAAACGAAUACCCUGCAUCAACCCGAAACCAUCAAUGACACCGAAAAUUAUGCAAUCGGCGAUAUUGGAGAGUUAAUUGAACUCUUGGGUUUGUCUAAUUGUGAAGGAGGAGAGGAAGAAAGGGGUGAUUGUUGUGGUGGUGGUAGCGGCAUUGGUGGUGGUUCUUGUCGUUGUCAAGGCGGGUUUUAUGAGAAGAUUGUUGGGGUGAAGGGGCCGAAGUGUGGGAAAGAAGUGGAGAGGUUGGAGGGUUGGAUUAAGUGCUUUAUGAAUGGUGGUGGGGAGGGGAGUAUUGAACCUUUCAGGUUGGCACAUUUGCUUUUGGGAAAAGCUGCUUUUGUUUCUGAUGGUGCUGAUCAUGGUUUUGGAGGCUUGGAAUUCCCUUCGACUGUUGGGGAUUUUUUACUCAAAGAUCCUCCCCCAACAGAUUGAUCAAGGCACCAAAACUCUACUCUUUAUCUUAUUCUCUGUCUUGAACUCUUCAGAAGGGUGGUCAACACCUCAUUCAUGUUAGGUCGGUUGUCAGGAUCCGGGUUGGUGCAAAGCAAGGCUAUCUUAAGUAGCUCUUCUGCAAUUUUCUCCCCUUCCGUUGAGAUAUUUGAAGCUAGCAUAGGGUCCAGAACUUGAAGAAGCGUCUUCGUUCCAUUUGCAACGGAUUUCUCCACAAGUUGAGACAAGCUCACUGGCAGCCCAUUCUCUUCCAUAAGUCCUGUUGGCCUUUUCUUUGUCAGCAGCUCCAUCACUAUUAUACCAAAGCUGAAUAAGUCGACCUUAGUUGUGAUUUUCCUCAUAUAUGCAAAUUCUGCAGAGGCAUGUUUUAAGCUGUUGGAAUUUAGGGUAAGACUAAAAAGGGUCACCUGGUGCCAGGUAGCCAAUUGUUCCUUGGAAAGCUGAUGCUGAGGAAAGGCUACUCCCGUCCUGGAGAUGAACACCCAACAUUCUAGCUGUCCCGAAAUCACUCACAUGGGCCACCCAGUCAUCAUCCAACAAUAUGUUAGAAGGCUUCAAGUCACAAUGAACAAUCGGAAAAUCAUAACCCGAAUGCAGGUUCCCGUUCUUCAUGUACGUCAGGACCAAGGCCUUUAACUUCAUGCUCUCCCAUGCAUAACCGAGUACCUUCACCAAAUUCCUAUGCCGUAGUUGGGACAGUGUCUUGAUUUCUCUAUUGAAGCAUUUAUCAGACUCGACAGAGAACUGGUGCAGAUUCAAUCUCUUUAUGGCUACCAUCUGCCCGUCUUCUAGUUCACCCUUGUACACAGUGCUCAAAUUGCUUGCACCUAUAAUAUUAUCUUUGCUGAAGCAACCGGUGGCAGUUUCUAAAUCCUUUUGAUCAAACCUCUUGAGGGUCAAUGCUGAAGCAUACUCAUAUUCUGGAUCCUCAAGCUUUUCUGGUCUAUGUGAGUUGGUGAAGCGGUGGAGAAUGUGAAUACUGAGCACUAGAACCAGAAGUAGAGAAGCAGAUCCAAGCACCAACAGGAUAAACUUGGUUUUCUUGGACAGCCGGUGUGAACUUUUUUUGCAUAUCUUGAGAAAUUUGUUACCACAGAGAUCUGGGUUCCCCAUCAAGCUGGACACAUUCAUCUUUUUGAAUAUUCCACUGUCUGGAACAUGGCCUUGAAGUCCAUUGAAAGAGACAUUUAAGUGCUUCAAGCUGGAAAGAUUGGCAAAGUUCUCAGGGAUAAUGCCUCUCAGAUGAUUUUGAGAAAGGUCAAGGGAACUAAGAUGCUUCAGAUUUGAUAACUUUUCCGGGAUUUCACCAUCUAAGUUGUUCCUUGAAAGAUUCAAGCUUGUGAGGAUGUCCAUCUGGGCAAAAGGUUCAACUGGAAUUGAACCAGAAAGUUUGUUCCCCGAUAGAUCAAAAGAGAACAAGUUCUUGCAGCCUUCUAUUGUUCUGGGAAUGAUUCCAGAGAGAUUAUUGUUGGAAAUGUCAAUGGCUUGUACCAUUUCCAACUUACCAAGCUCAUCCGGAAUGGUGCCAUCCAAGAAAUUGUAUGAGAAGUUCAGAUAUAUCUGCAUGCUUCUCAUGCUUGAGACCACUGAUCCAGGAAUGGAUCCCGAGAGACGGUUGUGAGAGAGAUCCAGGGUUGUCAGCCGAUUAAGGCCAGCCAUGCUUUUUGGAAUGGAACCAUUGAGCAUAUUAUGCCCGAGGUUUAAGUAUGAAAGCAACUCAAGUUUUGACACAGAAUCUGGAAUUGGACCCGUCAGUUUAUUGUGUUGCAACUGAAGAUUGGUUAGCUGUUUCAGUUUAAAAAUUUCCUCAGGUAUGGCUCCUUCUAAAGCAUUGUCGUGCAGGGAAAGCCCUUGGAGCUGAGAGAGCUUAGAUAACUGUGGUGGAA